AUAGGAGCAGCAAGAGAAGUUGUGGCCAACGACAAAGAAAGGCCACCUUGUUGUGGUUCUAAGCUAUUGUCAUGCACAUUGCUUACUGUUAAUGGAAGUAAAGACAUGGGACCUCCAUAAGACAAGGCCCAAAAAGCCUCUGUGGCCCGCAUUCUAUUUGCUACAUGCACUUGCCCAAGAACUUCAGCAGGCCUUCGAUGCAUGCCUGAGACAUUCAGGAACACUUCAACUAAGCAAAAGCAGUUGCACCAUUUUUCAAGCUAGAAGCAGAAAGUGAAUUGCAAAAAUAUCCACAACAACAUUAAAAAAAAAAACAAAAGAUUUUGAGGGCGAGAUAGCAGAUUUUAUAAGAAAAGAUAGAUACAUAAAAUUAUAAAACAACAAGAGCAACUCACAAUGCAUAUAUACAGGAAAAAGAAAAAUAACGAAAAAUAACAAUCAAGAAAACUGAUAAAAUCAGAAGUUUGUCUACAGAAAUUGAAGAAUAGGAACUCAGAGGCAUAUGUGCCUGGUGUGUUUGUGUGAACAUGUUUCAUACAGAAAUUUACUUCUUUGCAGGGAACUAGAAAUCAAAAAAAUUAUUUAAAAAGGGAUCUUGUUAACAUUUCCAUCCUCCAAAAGAUAGAAAAGCAUCCUAAAAAUUAGAAAUCAUAUGCACCAUCCUGCAACAGAAGAUGUCGUUGCAUUUAACAGUACAUCAUUAGAUAAGUAGAUGAAUUGCUUCUUGAAAGGAUAAAUAAGAGAAAGCAUAAAAUAAGUCCAUUUUAAUUUAGCUAUAGACUGCAUGACAAAAUCUCAAACCUGCUACAGCAGAGGGGGAAGCAUCUGGACAAUAGCGCCCAUUCAGUAAAUUAGGGUGAUAGAGGAGAUGAAGGGACCCAGCAAUUUCAGCAUCCAGAUUUGCAUAUUCUUCUGCCAUCUUUUGUACAUGGUCAUUUGCAGCUAGCCAUGGUAAACCAGCUCCAUUACCAAAACAAGGUAGCACAUCCCCUCCCCUAGAAGCCAAACGAAUCAUUUUCUCAGGCCCAAUAGGUUCCUUAAAGAUAUAUACAGGGCCCAUUUCAGCAAACAAAGGACAUUGACGACGACGCCGUUGUAAACCAGCCAUUGUUGGAGGUGGAUUAGUUCCAAUGCAGCAAAAUGCAAGUGG
rnacentral:lncRNA from 1 species